GCACCCGUAGUUCAAUGGAUAGAAUGUCAGAUUCCGGUUCUGAUGAUAUGAGUUCGAAUCUCGUCGGGUGCACUA
rnacentral:tRNA from 1 species